rnacentral:rRNA from 1 species
UAGGGAAUCUUCCGCAAUGGGCGAAAGCCUGACGGAGCAACGCCGCGUGAGUGAUGAAGGUCUUCGGAUCGUAAAACUCUGUUAUUAGGGAAGAACAAAUGUGUAAGUAACUAUGCACGUCUUGACGGUACCUAAUCAGAAAGCCACGGCUAACUACGUGCCAGCAGCCGCGGUAAUACGUAGGUGGCAAGCGUUAUCCGGAAUUAUUGGGCGUAAAGCGCGCGUAGGCGGUUUUUUAAGUCUGAUGGGAAAGCCCACGGCUCAACCGUGGAGGGUCAUUGGAAACUGGAAAACUUGAGUGCAGAAGAGGAAAGUGGAAUUCCAUGUGUAGCGGUGAAAUGCGCAGAGAUAUGGAGGAACACCAGUGGCGAAGGAGACUUUCUGGUCUGUAACUGACGCUGAUGUGCGAAAGCGUGGGGAUCAAACAGG